CAUGCAAGUCGAACGGCAGCACGGGGAGCUUGCUCCCUGGUGGCGAGUGGCGGACGGGUGAGUAACGCGUAGGAAUCUACCUCGUAGUGGGGGACAACCCGGGGAAACUCGGGCUAAUACCGCAUAAUCUUUUCGAAGCAAAGUGGGGGAUCUUCGGACCUCACGCUAUGAGAUGAGCCUGCGUCGGAUUAGUUUGUUGGUGGGGUAAUGGCCUACCAAGGCGACGAUCCGUAGCUGGUCUGAGAGGACGAUCAGCCACACUGGGACUGAGACACGGCCCAGACUCCUACGGGAGGCAGCAGUGGGGAAUAUUGGACAAUGGGCGCAAGCCUGAUCCAGCAAUGCCGCGUGUGUGAAGAAGGCCUUCGGGUUGUAAAGCACUUUCAGUGGGGAAGAAAUGCUCAAGGUUAAUAACCUAUGAGAGUUGACGUUACCCACAGAAGAAGCACUGGCUAACUCUGUGCCAGCAGCCGCGGUAAUACAGAGAGUGCAAGCGUUAAUCGGAAUUACUGGGCGUAAAGCGCACGUAGGUGGGUAUUUAAGUCGGAUGUGAAAGCCCUAGGCUCAACCUAGGAAUUGCAUUCGAUACUGGGUACCUAGAGUAUGGUAGAGGGAAGUGG
rnacentral:rRNA from 1 species